rnacentral:rRNA from 2 species
AAACUUUCAACAACGGAUCUCUUGGCUCUCGCAUCGAUGAAGAACGCAGCGAAAUGCGAUAAGUAAUGUGAAUUGCAGAAUUCAGUGAAUCAUCGAAUCUUUGAACGCACCUUGCGCCUUUUGGUAUUCCGAAAGGCACACCUGUUUGAGCGUCAUGA